CCUACGGGAGGCAGCAGUAGGGAAUCUUCCACAAUGGGCGAAAGCCUGAUGGAGCAACGCCGCGUGGGUGAAGAAGGUCUUCGGAUCGUAAAACCCUGUUGUUAGAGAAGAAAGUGCGUGAGAGUAACUGUUCACGUUUCGACGGUAUCUAACCAGAAAGCCACGGCUAACUACGUGCCAGCAGCCGCGGUAAUACGUAGGUGGCAAGCGUUAUCCGGAUUUAUUGGGCGUAAAGGGAACGCAGGCGGGCUUUUAAGUCUGAUGUGAAAGCCUUCGGCUUAACCGGAGUAGUGCAUUGGAAACUGGGAGACUUGAGUGAAGAAGAGGAGAGUGGAACUCCAUGUGUAGCGGUGAAAUGCGUAGAUAUAUGGAAGAACACCAGUGGCGAAAGCGGCUUUCUGGUCGGUAACUGACGCUGAGGUUCGAAAGCGUGGGUAGCAAACAGGAUUAGAUACCCCUGUAGUC
rnacentral:rRNA from 1 species